rnacentral:rRNA from 1 species
UACGUAGGGGGCUAGCGUUGUCCGGAAUCACUGGGCGUAAAGGGUUCGCAGGCGGAAAUGCAAGUCAGAUGUAAAAGGCAGUAGCUUAACUACUGUAAGCAUUUGAAACUGCAUAUCUUGAGAAGAGUAGAGGUAAGUGGAAUUUUUAGUGUAGCGGUGAAAUGCGUAGAUAUUAGGAGGAAUACCAGUGGCGAAGGCGACUUGCUGGAAUCUAACUGACGCUGAGGUACGAAAGCGUGGGGAGCAAACAGG